rnacentral:lncRNA from 1 species
AAAACGCUCGCCGCUAAUUACUGGGCAAAGUCCGCUUCGAAAUGUCAAGCUUUAUGGCAGCAAUUGACAGCGAUUCGGAGGCGUGUGCAGAUAGUAAUUAGGCCGGAAAGUGCACAGGAGAGGGAGCCAGAAGAUAGUGGCAACGGGAGGGUCCUUGUCGAUGCGCUGGCCACUGCUGGUGCCAAAGCAAAUAGACGAAAUUAUGGUUUACAGAUACCAUAAAGAUACUGUGAAUCGCAUCGGUAUCUGCUAGAUAGCUACGCUGCCCGAAUUCAAUUAACCUUGGCAACAAUCGAAUGAUACGUUACCCAAAAGCUGCAGCUAUCCUCAAUCUCAUUCCCCAUCCACUAAUCGGAAUAAUAAUGACAACAUCAUGGUGCCGAUAAGUAUUCGACAGACCAAACGGAAAGCGGUAAUAAAAUCAAAUUGACAAUGGAAAAAAGGAAUGGAAAUUGUCAUAAAACUCGUCAGGGAAGAGCCAGAGGAUUCGGGUAGGAGGGUCGGAAAGGGGUCGCAGUCAACCAAAGGAAUAAUGUUAGGACACUGGAAACAAAUUUAAUAAAAGAGC